rnacentral:misc_RNA from 1 species
UCUCUCUCUCUCUCUCUGUUCAUAACUUACACAAGUUCCUGGAUUAAAAUUAUGGAAUGAAAGGAAAAUUCACAUUUUUGGUUCUCCGACUGCCCCUUCUAGAUAAUGUUGCUUAAGCUGGAUUGAUUAUGGUAUUUUGGGAACAGUCAGUAUGGUUAGUGGUUUUGAAUAAUUGGUUAUCUCUGUUUUGUUAUGUUCAUUACGACUCUGAAUUUUAGUAGUUUUAAGAGGGAGGGUACUGCUUGCUUAUCAUUAUACUUCUGCUGCCAUGGUAGCACCUUUUACCUUUAUAUAGCAUUCUUCAUCAUGG